rnacentral:tRNA from 1 species
GGAGGGGCCAGCCGACGGAUGGCGACGGCCACGGUUUCGAAAACCGUUGGGGGCUCAGCGUCCCGUGCGAGUUCGAUCCUCGCCCUCUCCG